UACGGGGGGAGCAAGCGUUGUUCGGAUUUACUGGGCGUAAAGGGCGCGUAGGCGGCGCAACAAGUCACUUGUGAAAUCUCCGGGCUUAACUCGGAGCGGCCAAGUGAUACUGUCGUGCUAGAGUGCGGAAGGGGCUACUGGAAUUCUCGGUGUAGCGGUGAAAUGCGUAGAUAUCAGGAGGAACACCGGUGGCGAAGGCGGAUCUCUGGGCCGUAACUGACGCUGAGGAGCGAAAGCAUGGGGAGCGAACAGG
rnacentral:rRNA from 1 species